rnacentral:tRNA from 1 species
AAUUAUAUAAUCAACUAUGAUUUUAAAUUGCAAAUUUAAAAGUAUACAUUUUUAUGUAUUAUAAUUU